CUUGCCUGCACGGCUAAAAAUAACAAAUGACAAAGGUCAUGUCUGCUCCUACCUAUUGGAGGAAUCUACAAAGAAUGAAGCUUUUGAUUCACUGACUUGGGGAAGUGAGAACUCUCCUGCCGGCCACAGCCCCUGGAAUUCUUCACCAGGUCUCGCUGGCCCAUGCCAAGGACAUGGGGGAAGCUCAGGGAGGUCUGCCUGUCUCUCUGGGAGACAGCUCCCCCUGCACUGGAGACCCAGGCCCUUGAGCAGUGCCCCGUGAACCCAUUCUCCCAUACCUGAGCUGGAGAUGGUGGCAAAUCCCCCGGUGUCCCCGAUGAGUCCCAGGCCACAGACACAACCCCCCACUCUGACCUCUCGGCUUCAGCACAGACAACCACCGCAGAGUGGCUACACCCUGCGAGGUGGCCACCGGAUCCAGUCCAGUGGCACUCUGGCUGCUCCAGUCCUGGUUACCUGGAAGUCCUUUUGUUCUGAGGACUCUCUGUACGACUGGCUGGUAGAGAGUGGCCCUGGGACCAUGAGGAAAGGGCAGCCACCAUGUGUCCACCUGGCCGGACCCAAGAACGGAGGCUUCCAAUGAAAUGGGCCAUAGCACAGGAAGAAACCGUGCAUUGUUUCCCGUCUGGCAGAGCAACGUGACUGGAGAGACAGCACUUCCCACAGAGUGGUUUCCCGGCUUUUACAACCUUCCCCUUUGUGUGUUGACGUUCUGUUUUAUUUUAAACUUUUCAGGUGUGAGGAACUCACCCCUAUUUUGUUUUUCACUUUUAAGUGAAUGGAUAGUGUGCUAAUCACAAGAGUUCCUGUUUGACAAAUACUAGAACAUCUAUGCUGCAAACAUAUUAUUUAGUCAA